CCUACGGGAGGCAGCAGUGAGGAAUAUUGGUCAAUGGACGAGAGUCUUAACCAGCCAAGUAGCGUGAAGGAUGACUGCCCUAUGGGUUGUAAACUUCUUUUAUAUGGGAAUAAAAUGUUCCACGUGUGGGAUUUUGUAUGUACCAUAUGAAUACGGAUCGGCUAACUCCGUUCCAGCAGCCGCGGUAAUACGGAGGAUCCGAGCGUUAUCCGGAGUUAUUGGGUUUAAAGGGAGCGUAGGUGGAUGGUUAAGUCAGGUGUGAAAGUUUGCGGCUCAACCGUAAAAUUGCAGUUGAAACUGGCAGUCGUGAGUACAGUAGAGGUGGGCGGAAUUCGUGGUGUAGCGGUGAAAUGCUUAGAUAUCACGAAGAACUCCGAUUGCGAAGGCAGCUCACUGGACUGCAACUGACACUGAGGCUCGAAAGUGUGGGUAUCAAACAGGAUUAGAUACACGAGUAGUC
rnacentral:rRNA from 1 species